rnacentral:rRNA from 1 species
UACGUAGGGGGCAAGCGUUGUCCGGAUUUAUUGGGCGUAAAGAGCGUGUAGGCGGCUUUACAGGUCCGUUGUGAAAACUCGAGGCUCAACCUCGAGACGCCGGUGGAAACCGUAAAGCUAGAGUCCGGAAGAGGAGAGUGGAAUUCCUGGUGUAGCGGUGAAAUGCGCAGAUAUCAGGAGGAACACCGGUGGCGAAGGCGGAUCUCUGGGCCGAUACUGACGCUGAGGAGCGAAAGCGUGGGUAGCAAACAGG